CUGGUUCUGAAGGUGAAGUUUUCACGUGGCCUAGGUUGUCAAACGUCCCGUUCCUUUUAAUUUCAUCCCACAUAUCUUUUGCAGUGAAGCCCUGGGAAUUGCCAGAUAUAAGGAAGCAGGGACAUUCUGAUACAUGUACAUCAGGUGUCUCCUGUGCUGCAAUGGCAUAAGUCAAUGGAGGCUGCCUAUCUGCUGACUUGUGGUAUAAAGUCACUACAUGCACUCCAUCUUCUUUCACUAUCUUUGAGUUGAGGUGAUGACCAGAAAAUCCAGAGUCCCC
rnacentral:misc_RNA from 1 species